rnacentral:rRNA from 1 species
UCGAACGGUAACAUUUCUAGCUUGCUAGAAGAUGACGAGUGGCGGACGGGUGAGUAAUGCUUGGGAACUUGCCUUUAGGAGGGGGAUAACAGUUGGAAACGACUGCUAAUACCGCAUAAUGUCUACGGACCAAAGGGGGCUUCGGCUCUCACCUAAAGAGAGGCCCAAGUGAGAUUAGCUAGUUGGUAAGGUAAAAGCUUACCAAGGCGACGAUCUCUAGCUGUUCUGAGAGGAAGAUCAGCCACACUGGGACUGAGACACGGCCCAGACUCCUACGGGAGGCAGCAGUGGGGAAUAUUGCACAAUGGGGGAAACCCUGAUGCAGCCAUGCCGCGUGUGUGAAGAAGGCCUUCGGGUUGUAAAGCACUUUCAGUUGUGAGGAAAGGUUGGUAGUUAAUACCUGCCAGCUGUGACGUUAACAACAGAAGAAGCACCGGCUAACUCCGUGCCAGCAGCCGCGGUAAUACGGAGGGUGCGAGCGUUAAUCGGAAUUACUGGGCGUAAAGCGCACGCAGGCGGUUUGUUAAGCUAGAUGUGAAAGCCCCGGGCUCAACCUGGGAUGGUCAUUUAGAACUGGCAGACUAGAGUCUUGGAGAGGGGAGUGGAAUUCCAGGUGUAGCGGUGAAAUGCGUAGAUAUCUGGAGGAACAUCAGUGGCGAAGGCGGCUCCCUGGCCAAAGACUGACGCUCAUGUGCGAAAGUGUGGGUAGCGAACAGGAUUAGAUACCCUGGUAGUCCACACCGUAAACGCUGUCUACUAGCUGUUUGUGAAUUUAAUUCGUGAGUAGCGAAGCUAACGCGAUAAGUAGACCGCCUGGGGAGUACGGCCGCAAGGUUAAAACUCAAAUGAAUUGACGGGGGCCCGCACAAGCGGUGGA